rnacentral:rRNA from 1 species
GAUCAAGUGUCAUAAGGGUAUCUGGUGGAUGCCUUGGCGCUGAGAGGCGAUGAAGGACGUGGUACGCUGCGAUAAGCCGUGGGGAGCCGCGAACGGGCUUUGAUCCAUGGAUUUCCGAAUGGGGGAACCCACUUCCAGUGAUCGGUAAUCAGUGAACGGUGAUCGGGGGCGACUCUGGUGAUCGUUGACUGUUUACUGGUCGCUGCAUGAAGGAUUUGUGGUCUGAACACAUAGGAUCACAAAGGCUAACCCGGGGAACUGAAACAUCUAAGUACCCGGAGGAAAGGACAUCAACGAGACUCCGUUAGUAGUGGCGAGCGAACGCGGACCAGGCCAGUGGCUUGAGGUUUGAACAGCGGAACCGUUUGGAAAGGCGGGCCGGAGUGGGUGAGAGCCCCGUACGCGACGUUCGAUCUUGGGUCCUUGAGUAGGGCGGGACACGUGCAAUCCUGUCUGAAUUUGGGGGGACCACCCUCCAAGCCUAAGUACUCCUCAGCGACCGAUAGCGAACAAGUACCGUGAGGGAAAGGUGAAAAGCACCCCG